rnacentral:lncRNA from 1 species
CAUAAUAAUAUAUUUUUUAUUUUGUCGUUUUAACUACCAGUUUAAUCAAAUAGCGAACAAUACAAGAUACGUGUUUCAAAUCGUGUACUGUCUGUAAUCAAAUGUAAGAAAGUAAAUGAAACAAACGAAAUGAAUGAAAUGACAGAAACAUAAUGUUUAGUAGGCAUUCAUUAGCAUCAAGCCUGUCUUGAGCAUUUAGCUGUAAAUUCUCAUCCACAUCACAGUGAAUGUCCUCAUUGUUCAUGAAUCCAAGCUUGACAUUAGUCUGCAUUGAUGUUGUCGCAUGCCUCAUCCAUGGCCAGAAGGAGGUCGACACGCCGAUCGUACACCUUCCACCUCCAUGCUGAAAAACAAAUCCUCAAUAGUGUGGAGGGGAAGGAGAGUAUGGGGGCAGGUGUAGAGUCACGAAUCAGGGCUGGUCCCGAAAACUAUGCCUGAACCACCUCUGCAGGGUGGAACCUGACAUUGUCCCACACAAUGACAUAUGUGACCCCUUGACCUUGACAGGCCUGCUCAAUUUCACUGAGAAACACAAUGAGGUGUGUGACCCCUUGACCUUGACAGGCCUGCUCAAUUUCACUGAGAAACACAAUGACAUAUGUGACCCCUUGACCUUGACAGGCCUGCUCAAUUUCACUGAGAAACACAAUGAGGUGUGUGACUACUUUCACCUUGACAGGCCUGCUCAAUUUCACUGAGAAACACAAUGAGGUGUGCAGCGUUGUAGGAUCCAAGUAAUUGUCUACGUCCUACCACACCAUCUUCAUCUUCAGAGAUAGCAGCGCACAUGGAGAUGUUUCCUCUCCGUUGUCCAGGCACCUGGACGGACGCCCGUUGGCCGAUGAGGUUCUGACCCACGGCGCUGAGUUUUGGCCAGAUUGAAGAACCACUUCAUCAACAAAGAUAUAGUUGUGAUGGUUCACAGCAGCAUCAAGCACCAUCACUCUAUAACAAUAUAUUGUGGCUAGUUAUUUUUACAGUAUAGUUCCAGUAUGAUAUUGUGAAGUAUCAUGUGCAUUAAUAGUAACAGUAAAACAGUAUAUAGUACUGUACAGUAAAACAGUAUAUAGUACUGUACAGUUAAACAGUAUAUAGUACUGUACAGUAAAACAGUAUAUUAGUGCUGUACAGUAAAACAGUAUAUAGUACUGUACAGUAAAACAGUAUAUAGUGCUGUACA